rnacentral:rRNA from 1 species
UACGUAGGGUGCAAGCGUUGUCCGGAAUUACUGGGCGUAAAGAGCUCGUAGGUGGUUUGUCGCGUUGUUCGUGAAAACUCACAGCUUAACUGUGGGCGUGCGGGCGAUACGGGCAGACUGGAGUACUGCAGGGGAGACUGGAAUUCCUGGUGUAGCGGUGGAAUGCGCAGAUAUCAGGAGGAACACCGGUGGCGAUGGCGGGUCUCUGGGCAGUAACUGACGCUGAGGAGCGAAAGCGUGGGGAGCGAACAGG